AGGAUGAGAGGAACUCGUCGAUCAGCAAGAUUGACUGGAGUACCACCUGAGGAUGAGGGCAUGAGCGCCCGUCCUCCAGCAUUGCCUAGGGCAAUGUCUAGCAGGUCCAACAGGGACAGAGUAGCAAGAGACCCUAGAAGGUCUCUAGAUCUGGGUAGGAGCAGAUCAGUCAGAGGGACAGUUCAGGGAGGAGCGUCAGAGGAUAUGGGGGAUGAUAUGGACGUAGAACAGAGGAGGGAUGGCAGUUUGGGAGUCAAUAUGUCAGAAGAA
rnacentral:lncRNA from 1 species